AGCUUGCCAGGAAAAUUUGAGACAGAACAAGUGCACAACCAGUAAGCUGCGCAGUCAACAAGGAGCUAUCUUAUCCAGAGCCCAUGGCUGGAGUGGCGUUCCGCAACAAUCUCGACAAUAUACCAGGAAGUGCUGGCUAUCUGUAACAACUGGGCAUGAUAAAGAUCAUAAAAGUCAUUCGCCUUUUGCGAAAGAUUUGCUACCGCUGUCUCAAAGCAGGGUAUGCGCUGGGACUCUUGCUGUGAUGAACUCAGCUGGUGACUGCCCACAGUCUGUUUAUCGUCUACAACGCAAAAUUCAUCAGAAGACUACAGCAGAGACCCUUUGGCCCAUCCUUUCUGUGCCAGUCGAAAGCAAUUAUCUCCCUAUUCUGAAUUCAUUUAUCAGCAGUUGGCCUAUAGUCUUCUACGCCUUGGCAUCACAAGUGCUAUCUAAAUACUUUUUUAAAUGUAUUGAGUUUCUGCCUCUCCCACGUUCCUGUUCCAGAUUCCCGCCAAGCUACGGGUGAAAGGGGUUUUCCUCACAUCUCUAAAUCUUUUGCCCUUACCUUUUUAAGCUAUACGUCCAUCAGGCCAUGAGUGUGGUGGAGUAGCCCUCACUUGACUGGAAGAAUGAAACCCCAAAAACACUAAAGAGCCUGCUUGAUUGGCACAAUAUGUAAAUCAGUCCCUCCAUAACUGACUCCCAGUAGUGGCUGUGUGCAGUCAACGAGUCACACUGAAAUAACUCAGGCUCCUUAGAUGACAACACCUAAAUCUGCAACCAAUAUUUUCUAGUUGGAGAAGGGCAGCAAUUACAUUAGAAUGUCACAGCCACCCUCAAACAACACACAAACUCCCACCCAGCUUAUUUACCAUCAUCAUUUGGAAAUGUCGGCAUUCCUUCAGUGAUGCUGGGUAAAAUCAUUGAACUCCCUCUCUAACAGCAUCAUAGGCUUACUUAUUCAAAAUACAGCAAGUUCAAGAAGACAGCUCAGCGCCAACUUCUCGAGGACAACUAGGGAUAGACAAUAAAUGCUCACUUAGCAGCAAAGCCCAUGUCCCAUUAAUGAAUUGACUACAUUUUUAAACACCUCCAUUUCUUGUCUUAGUCUUGCCACUUGCUCUAACCACACCCUCACUUCUCUGAUCUGCAUGUAUCUUUUAGAAUGUGGACUGCAGCAUUUCAAGAGGGUAGCUCACCAGUGCCAUUUCAAAGGCAAAGGAUGAUCAAUAAAUCAUGACUGCCAGCAACACCUACAUCGCAAAUGUGAAUAAAAUAAAAUCUCUGCUCGUAGUCUUCCUCGUUCUUACUAUAAUGACAUAGUUUA